rnacentral:tRNA from 1 species
GCGGUCGUCGUCCAGUCCUUCAUUAGGGGACUAUCUGGUCUAGGACAUAGGCCCUCCAAGCCUGUAACAUGGGUUCAAAUCCCGUCGACCGCA